AGCGAACGCUGGCGGCAGGCCUAACACAUGCAAGUCGAACGAACCCUUCGGGGUUAGUGGCGGACGGGUGAGUAACACGUGGGAACGUGCCUUUAGGUUCGGAAUAACUCAGGGAAACUUGUGCUAAUACCGAAUGUGCCCUUCGGGGGAAAGAUUUAUCGCCUUUAGAGCGGCCCGCGUCUGAUUAGCUAGUUGGUGAGGUAAUGGCUCUCCAAGGCUACGAUCAGUAGCUGGUCUGAGAGGAUGACCAGCCACAUUGGGACUGAGACACGGCCCAACUCCUACGAGAGGCAGCAGUGGGGAAUCUUGCGCAAUGGGCGAAAGCCUGACGCAGCCAUGCCGCGUGGAUGAUGAAGGUCUUAGGAUUGUAAAAUCCUUUCACCGGUGAAGAUAAUGACUGUAGCCGGAGAAGAAGCCCCGGCUAACUUCGUGCCAGCCGCCGCCGUAACAC
rnacentral:rRNA from 1 species